CAGAGGAUGGUGGAUCGGCUAUUGGAUGGGUUCCAGGAGUACGCUUGCGCCUAUUUAGACGACAUAGCAAUCUUCAGCCAUUCCUGGACCGAACACCUGACCCAUAUAGGAGCCGUACUAGACCGCAUUAGGGAGGCAGGGUUAACCCUUAAACCCAGUAAGUGCCAUAUAGGGAUGGCUGAAGUUCAGUAUUUAGGGCACCGGGUAGGAAGCGGCCAGCAAAAGCCAGAACCCGCCAAGGUAGAGGCCGUAGCCAAAUGGCCAACACCGCGUACCAAAAUC